rnacentral:rRNA from 1 species
UACGUAGGGUGCAAGCGUUAAUCGGAAUUACUGGGCGUAAAGCGUGCGCAGGCGGUUUUGUAAGUCUGACGUGAAAUCCCCGGGCUCAACCUGGGAAUUGCGUUGGAGACUGCAAGGCUGGAGUCUGGCAGAGGGGGGUAGAAUUCCACGUGUAGCAGUGAAAUGCGUAGAGAUGUGGAGGAACACCGGUGGCGAAGGCAGCCCCCUGGGUCAAGACUGACGCUCAUGCACGAAAGCGUGGGGAGCAAACAGG